GUAACAAGGUUUCCGUAGGUGAUCCUGCGGAAGGAUCAUUACCGAGUGUAGGGUUCCUAGCGAGCCCAACCUCCCACCCGUGUUUACUGUACCUUAGUUGCUUCGGCGGGCCCGCCAUUCAUGGCCGCCGGGGGCUCUCAGCCCCGGGCCCGCGCCCGCCGGAGACACCACGAACUCUGUCUGAUCUAGUGAAGUCUGAGUUGAUUGUAUCGCAAUCAGUUAAAACUUUCAACAAUGGAUCUCUUGGUUCCGGCAUCGAUGAAGAACGCAGCGAAAUGCGAUAACUAGUGUGAAUUGCAGAAUUCCGUGAAUCAUCGAGUCUUUGAACGCACAUUGCGCCCCCUGGUAUUCCGGGGGGCAUGCCUGUCCGAGCGUCAUUGCUGCCCAUCAAGCACGGCUUGUGUGUUGGGUCGUCGUCCCCUCUCCGGGGGGGACGGGCCCCAAAGGCAGCGGCGGCACCGCGUCCGAUCCUCGAGCGUAUGGGGCUUUGUCACCCGCUCUGUAGGCCCGGCCGGCGCUUGCCGAACGCAAAUCAAUCUUUUUCCAGGUUGACCUCGGAUCAGGUAGGGAUACCCGCUGAACUUAAGCAUAUC
rnacentral:misc_RNA from 1 species